CCUACGGGGGGCAGCAGUGAGGAAUAUUGGUCAAUGGGCGAAAGCCUGAACCAGCAAAGUCGCGUGAAGGAUGAAGGCCCUACGGGUUGUAAACUCUUUUUGUCAGGGAGCAAUUGAGUCCACGUGUGGUCUUAGCGAGAGGACAUGAAGUAAAAACAUCGGCUAACUCCGUGCCAGCAGCCGCGGUAAUACGGAGGAUGCGAGCGUUAUACGGAUUUAUUGGGUGUAAAGGGUGCGUAGGCGGAAUAUCAAGUCAGCGGUAAAAAUUCGGGGCUUAACCACGUCGUGCCGUUGAAACUGAUGUUCUUGAGUGGGCGAGAAGUAUGCGGAAUGCGUGGUGUAGCGGUGAAAUGCAUAGAUA
rnacentral:rRNA from 1 species